UACAAAAGUUAGAGGUACCAGAUCGAUGU
rnacentral:piRNA from 1 species